rnacentral:rRNA from 1 species
AUUGAACGCUGGCGGCAGGCUUAACACAUGCAAGUCGAGCGGGGGAAGGUAGCUUGCUACCGGACCUAGCGGCGGACGGGUGAGUAAUGCUUAGGAAUCUGCCUAUUAGUGGGGGACAACAUCUCGAAAGGGAUGCUAAUACCGCAUACGUCCUACGGGAAAAAGCAGGCGAUCUUCGGACCUUGCGCUACUAGAUGAACCUAAGUCGGAGUAGCUAGUUGGUGGGGUAAAGGCCUACCAAGGCGACGAUCUGUAGCGGGUCUGGGAGGAUGAUCAGCCACACUGGGACUGAGACACGGCCCAGACUCCUACGGGAGGCAGCAGUGGGGAAUAGUGGACAAUGGGGGGAACCCUGAUCCAGCCAUGCCGCGUGUGUGAAGAAGGCCUUAUGGUUGUAAAGCACUUUAAGCGAGGAGGAGGCUACUCUAGUUAAUACCUAGGGAUAGUGGACGUUACUCGCAGAAUAAGCACCGGCUAACUCUGUGCCAGCAGCCGCAGUAA